CAAUGCACUAAUGUAGAGAGAUAACGGUUCAUGCCCACACACACACACACUCACGCAUACCCAGGCUGGGUUUGUGCAGCCCGGAGGAGAGUCCUCUAGGAUGGGCAGAGGGGGCUUGGGGUGCUAAGGGCUUGGCCUGCUCCCAGCACAGGAUCCCGGGCCCCCCUCCCACAGCCCGGGCCAUCAGCUGAUGUGUCUGGCAGCCUUGGGCUGCAGUCUCCGCCCCUCUCGCUGGCAGCGGGUCCUGGCAGGGCUUCCCGGCCCGGCUCCUGCUCCGGCUCCGGCCCAUCACCCUCAGACACGAGGCCCCAUGGCCUCCUCGGCGCUCAACCACUCCUGGCCGGCUCUCUCCAAGCUGUGGCCGAAACGGUGGGCUUUCAAGAGAGGUUCUGAGCCCAAGUCAUGUGUCCAGCCCUUUGAUUCUGGAGCUGCAGCCUUGGCCACCAAGAGUAGCCGUGAGCCCUGGAGACCCGAGGACCCAGACGUUUUCUCCAUCAUGCAGGAUGAGCAGGAAGAUGAUUUUGCAGAACAGCUCAGCAAGAGCGCGGAGGACCUCAGCCUGGAUUGGGGGGCCCUGCAGGACAGCGAGUAUCUCCAGGACCUGGGCCUGGCGGCCUCUUCCCCCUGCCUGCCCGGUGGGGCCGCGGACAGCAGCUCCCCGAAGACAGAAACUGAGAGAGACGCGCCCUUCUCCAGCUCGGAUGGGGCCCAGACUCUGGUGCAGAGGCGCAGCUGGGAGCGGUCGCGGAGCUGCUCCGAGGACUGGCGGAGGCUCAGCUGCGACCCCCUGCCUUUGGAGGAGAUCCCCUGCCUCCCCCGGACACUGGCUAGUCUGGCUCUCAACCUGUCGGGAGAAGGCCUGAAGACUUGGACCCAGGGCUGUCUGCCUAGGGGCGGGGCCGCAGCAGAAUCCCCAGGCAAGGACCAUGGCAGCCCCAAGGAGAAGAGAGAGAGGUCACGAUCGGCGCCCCUGGCCUGCGGGGAGAGCAGCUCCCCAGAAGCGGCAACUGUGAGAGGCCUCGAACCCCCGGAGCUGGAGAGCCUGGAAAAGGAUCACGUGGAGCCCGACCACGUGGCGCGGCAAAGGGCUCACCUGGCCACCAGCCCCGGAGCGCCCCACUCCAGCCUCACCUGGUUCGAGUUCCUGUCGGAGAGCGAGGACUGUGCCUCCAAGAGUGAGAAGAGCACCAGGAGCACCAGGGUGAAGCGGAGUCUGAGCUCCCUCCGCAGCCGGGUCACCAGGCAGAAGGAGAAGGGAAAGAGCCCAGCGCAGCUGAAGGACAAGGCUCCGGACAGCAGGGAGAAGUGGGAAUGCACCAGCGGGCACCAGCUGGUGCGGGGGACCUUCGCCGGCCACUCCAGCUGCCCGCUGUGCAGCAAGCCGCUCCUGAGUCCCGGUGAGUCCCGCACCCCAAUCCACCCACCCUCCCUCUUCUUUGCCGCCUCAGCCUCCUUUGCACGAACCCAGUUGGUUCUGGAGGGCUGGUUGUAACUCAAGCUGGUCGUAACUCAAGCUGGUCGUGAAGGCGCAGGCUCGUCUACCCAGCCUUCAACGUCUCUCUGCUGUACACAGGCCGGUCUCAGGGUCCUCAGAGAGACACUGGCCCAGGUUUUCUCGGUGAACCCCACACAGGAAAAGGAUGUGGCAAUGUUCUUUCCAGAACUCUUUACGGGUCAGGUCUUUAUCUGAGGCCAUCUGGAAGCACAGGCGGCCGGCAUUUGGGUCGUAACUCGAGACGUUGUACCACCAAAGGUGGCCUUCUGGUCAUAACCCAAGUCAUUUGUAUGUCAGGCUGCUCAUGACUCGGGGGUCCGCUGUGUUUCCUCUUCCCCUGCAUGGACAGCUUUCUCGGGCUUUCUGGAGGGAAGCAGGGUUAGGUGACCACGGACAGAGGCAUUUGGGUGGUCUCGGGCCGCGACACCUCCUUAUGUCUGGACUUUUAGCCCUGCCAGGACCUGGUCCUGUUGGCUCAGGGCCACGCUACCCCGGUGUGGUCUCAGCUCUCCAUGCGUGUGCCACAACUGCAUUUGCAAAUAAGAUCACCUAGCCGGGCAUGGUGGCUCCCACCUGUCAUCCCAGCACUUGGGAGGCUAAGGCAGGAGGAUCGCUGGGAGUUCGAGACCAGCCUGGGCUACACAGUGAGUUCCAGGUCAGUCUCACUACAUAGUGAGACCCUGUCUAAAAAAAAAAAAAAAAAAAAAGCGAAAAACAAAAAACCAAAUAAGAUCACCUGCGGACGCCUGGGGAGGGAGGUUAGGCCGACAACCUGUGAACGAGGGGGGCCCUUUCGUCGUUAACAAGGGAAUUCCUAACCCCCAGAUUGUGGGGUACCGGUAACCAGGGUCUCUGCUCAGAAACUGGACGGAGAAGCUGGGCGUGGUGGUGCCCACCUGUCAUGCCAGCCACUCGGGGGAGGCUGAGGCAGGAAGAUUACAAGUUUGGGGCCGGCCGGUGAAAUUUAGCUAGACCUUAUCAUAAAUAAAAUAAAAUCAUAAAGUAACAUGGGCUGGGGACAUAGCUCAGUAGUAGACUCCUUGCCUAGCAUGCCCAAGGCCCUGGGUUCAAGGCUCAGGACUGCAGAAAGAGUUUCAAGAUAUCGCCAGAGG
ensembl:lincRNA